UACAGAGGGGGCAAGCGUUAUUCGGAAUUACUGGGCGUAAAGGGCUCGUAGGCGGCCAACUAAGUCGGAUGUGAAAUCCCCAGGCUCAACUUGGGAACUGCAUCCGAUACUGGAUGGCUUGAAUUCGGGAGAGGGAUGCAGAAUUCCAGGUGUAGCGGUGAAAUGCGUAGAUAUCUGGAGGAAUACCGGUGGCGAAGGCGGCAUCCUGGACCGACAUUGACGCUGAGGAGCGAAAGCUAGGGGAGCAAACGGG
rnacentral:rRNA from 1 species